rnacentral:rRNA from 1 species
GUAGGGAAUAUUGCGCAAUGGGGGCAACCCUGACGCAGCAACUCCACGUGUGGGAUGAAGCAUUUCGGUGUGUAAACCACUGUCGGAUGGGAAUAAGGCGCCGCCACGGCGGCGUUGAAUGUACCAUUAGAGGAAGCACCGGCAAACUUCGUGCCAGCAGCCGCGGUAAUACGAGGGGUGCGAGCGUUGUUCGGAAUCACUGGGCGUAAAGGGAGCGUAGGCGGACCGCCAAGCGUUCUGUGCAAUCCCGGGGCCCAACCCCGGACCCGCAGAGCGAACUGGCGGCCUUGAGUAGUCCAGAGGCCGGCGGAAUUCCUGGUGUAGCGGUGGAAUGCGUAGAUAUCAGGAAGAACACCGAUGGCGAAGGCAGCCGGCUGGGGACUUACUGACGCUGAGGCUCGAAAGCGCGGGUAGCAAACAGGAUUAGAAACCCUAGUAGUCC